rnacentral:tRNA from 1 species
GCGAAAGUGGCGGAAUUGGUAGACGCGCCAGACUUAGGAUCGGGUACCUUCGGGUUUGUGGGUUCAAGUCCCGCCUUUCGCA